UACGGGGGGUGCGAGCGUUGUCCGGAAUCACUGGGCGUAAAGGGCGCGUAGGUGGUCUGCUAAGGGUGUGGUGAAAGCCCGGGGCUCAACCCCGGGUCGGCCGUGCCGACUGUUAGACUAGAGUGCUGUAAGGGCAGGCGGAAUUCCGGGUGUAGCGGUGGAAUGCGUAGAGAUCCGGAGGAAGACCGGUGGCGAAGGCGGCCUGCUGGGCAGAUACUGACACUGAGGCGCGAAAGCGUGGGGAGCAAACAGG
rnacentral:rRNA from 1 species